rnacentral:misc_RNA from 1 species
UAAAGUGCGAAAUGAAGUGCGAUUUGCAUGAAUCUGUGAGUCAUCAUAUCUUUGAACGCAACUUGCGCCAUUUGCUUGGCAUGUCUGUUUGAGAACCGGAUACUUUUGCUUUAAGCGAUAUGACCUAGUAUCAUCGAAACUUGGUCGAAAAAAAGCAUGUUUGGUGUGAUCAGUGGCACCGUGUGCUAGAGCCUCGUGCUUCUCACGGUCCAUCGACCAAACCAAAAGCCAAAUAUCAUACUUUUGGUCUCAAAUCAGGCAAGAUUACCCGCUGAACUUAA